UACGUAGGUGGCAAGCGUUGUCCGGAUUUACUGGGCGUAAAGAGCGCGCAGGCGGUCGUUCAAGUCGCGUGUGAAAGCCCCCGGCUCAACUGGGGAGGGUCACGCGAUACUGAUCGACUCGAAGGCAGGAGAGGGUAGUGGAAUUCCCGGUGUAGUGGUGAAAUGCGUAGAUAUCGGGAGGAACACCAGUGGCGAAGGCGGCCAACUGGGCCGGUUCUGACGCUGAGGCGCGAAAGCGUGGGGAGCAAACAGG
rnacentral:rRNA from 1 species